GGAUGGAUGGAUGGAUGGAUGGAUGGAUGGAUGGAUGGAUGGAUGGAUGGAUAGGUGGAUGGAUGGAUGGAUGGAUGGAUGAUAGGUAAGUAGGUAGAUGCGUGAUAGACAGAUGAUAGACUCACAUAAUAGCUGCUAUCAUCUCAUCUGUCUAUAUUGAUCUGCCAGACACUGUGGUGGGCACCUGUAGUCCCAGCUCCUUGAGAGGCAGAUAGCAUGAGCCCAGGAGUUCUAAGUCCCCAUGAGCUCUGAAGACAGCACAGCACUCCAGCCUGGGCAACAGAACAGGACCCUGUCUCCCCAAAUAUAAAUACACAUGUACAUAUAUACAUUAAAAAUUAGGGAAAAAGGGUAAAGCAUUAACUAACAAUGUGUAUGAUUCUGAUUUACAAAGGCUGCCACCUUGAGCACAUAGGAAUGGGUCCCUAUGUGUAUGUGUCUCUUGGUCCCCCAGGAAUGGGGUCCCUAUGUCUGUGUGUCCCUGGGUCCACCACACAGACACACACACACACACA